UGAAUGGUGAAUGAAUGACAACGUCACACUCUUUCUCCUUCAGUUAAAUAGCCAUUUUGUCCUCCAUAAAGCAGCCCCCACCUGUGUAAUACUCCCAAAAAGGUUUUCUAACUUGUUGCGUGAUGUAAUGUAUUGAAUAUCUAAGUUUGGGAAAUACCCUAGAUGGCUCUGCCUAUAGUUAGCUUCAAAAUUAAGUGAAGUGUUUUGUAUACAUUUGGCUGACAACACAUGUGUUUGUUCUAAUUUAACUUCAACCUUUUGGCUGUUAACCUUGUGGAAAUGUCAUUGAAAAUUUAACUUUUUCAAAUCUAAGCAAAAAGGCCUGCAAUAUUUCAUACACCUAUUUAUACAGCUAAAUGUACAUUAUUAUUAGAUAUAUAUAUAUAUAUAUGCACCAUACCAUAUAAUACAUAUAUAUAUUGCAAACUACACAUUAAAUAAUGAUCAACACUCCACACCCAUUAAUCGUGUAAGUCUUGACAGGUGAUGCUGUAGCUUGUACUGUGUUUAGCCAUUGCCAUUGUAUUGCAUACUUAUGUUAUACUAAAUAUUCACUGAUUGUUAUCAUGCAUGCUGCCUAAUAUUAUUGUUAUUUAAUUUGUCACAAUAAAUGAUAUCUAUUUUUAUAACAAA